rnacentral:rRNA from 1 species
UACGUAGGGAGCAAGCGUUGUCCGGAAUUACUGGGUGUAAAGGGAGCGUAGGCGGGAUGGCAAGUUGGGUGUUAAAUCUACCGGCUCAACUGGUAGUCGCACUCAAAACUGCUAUUCUUGAGUGAAGUAGAGGCAGGCGGAAUUCCUAGUGUAGCGGUGAAAUGCGUAGAUAUUAGGAGGAACACCGGUGGCGAAGGCGGCCUGCUGGGCUUUUACUGACACUGAGGCUCGAAAAUGUGGGGAGCAAACAGG